rnacentral:miRNA from 1 species
CUCCUAUGCAGAUACCUCUUUG